rnacentral:rRNA from 1 species
GACGAACGCUGGCGGCGUGCUUAACACAUGCAAGUCGAACGGAAAGGCCCUGCUUUUGUGGGGUGCUCGAGUGGCGAACGGGUGAGUAACACGUGAGUAACCUGCCCUUGACUUUGGGAUAACUUCAGGAAACUGGGGCUAAUACCGGAUAGGAGCUCCUGCUGCAUGGUGGGGGUUGGAAAGUUUCGGCGGUUGGGGAUGGACUCGCGGCUUAUCAGCUUGUUGGUGGGGUAGUGGCUUACCAAGGCUUUGACGGGUAGCCGGCCUGAGAGGGUGACCGGCCACAUUGGGACUGAGAUACGGACCAGACUCCUACGGGAGGCAGAAGUGGGGAAUAUUGCACAAUGGGCGGAAGCCUGAUGCAGCAACGCCGCGUGCGGGAUGACGGCCUUCGGGUUGUAAACCGCUUUCGCCUGUGACGAAGCGUGAGUGACGGUAAUGGGUAAAGAAGCACCGGCUAACUACGUG